UUAAAGGCGGGUGCCACCAUACCCAGCCCAUGUGGUUUUCUUAAGUGAAGAGUCACUACUUCAGCUGAAUGUGUGCUGAGCAUGUGCAGGGCUUCCUCAGGUGUCCACAUCAGUUUCACUAAGUGUCAUAUGUAGGCAGCUCAGAACAAAUUGCAACAACCCUCUUGUUACUAAGGGAUUUUUCUUUUUCAGUUUAUCUAGUAAAUGGUUUGAAAAUGCUCUUUUACAUGUGAAAAAUAAGCCCAUUGUGAUUUUCCUAUCUAAAAUGAGUUCUAGAAGACAAAAAUGUACAUUCCAGCUCUAGCAUUAUGCAUAUUCUAGCUCUAGUGUUUCUGGGUUUUAUAUCCAGUGCACAGGAAACUUUCACUACCUCAGGUUGAUUACUUCCCAUUUGUUCCCUAAGCUGCAUGGAAGGGGAGAGAAAGUAAAGGGAGUGCUGGGAAGAGGAAGCUAGAGAAAUAAGAGGAAACAGCUGGAAGCUAAGAGGGUGGAACUCAGAUAAGUUCAAUAAAACAAAAUACAGAAGGCAGGGUCAGGCCCUAGGAGCAGAAAGCUAAUUACUUCUGUCAGUGGAACAGAGUCAUUUGAAUACUUUGUUAAGAGACCCCAGAUACUUUUAAAGGGGAAAAAAUCUGCAUUCUUCCUGUGUACCUUAGUGACUUGUUCUUCAGGUCAAAAAUCUAUCCUGGCCUCCUAGAAUUUCUACAGACCAAGCAGACAGCUUGCUGCCAGUGCUCAGGCAAACCAGGGUGAAGUGUUUGGACAGCAACAGUUUGAAAACAGCAGCUAAAGAGAAGAGGCUAUCAAGGGAAGGAAGAAAACUGAGGAGACGCAUUAGAAAGACCUUGACGUGAAUGUGUUAAGGCAGAAGCAGCAGAGAAUGAUAUACACUGAAUGAAAAAAUACAAGGACAUGCAACACCCAAGGCUAAACUGUUCUCUGAUGAUUACCUGCUUCUACUACUGAAGAUCCAAACUGCAGAACUUCUCCAUAUACCCAAGGCAGUAUCCAGUGGGGAAUCAGCUUGGAAAGGAAGCAGACCAACUGUUCCAGCCCCUUCAUUCUGGUGACUGAUGGAAGAGUGGGAGAGGGGUGUACUUGUAUACUGGAUGGAAAACCCCACAAGUCCAAUUACUACUGUACCUCUUCAGUUUCUGUUACCAUAGAAUUCAGCAGCCUUAUUAUUUAUACUGUGUAUAAAUCCUUCAUUUGAAGUUUGGAGGUGAUAAGAGUUAAAAGAUGUUAAAGUCUUGAAAUAAUGCCCAUGUGAGGAAAUUUUGUUGUUUUUGCUUUUCGAGGUAGGAUCUCACUUUAUUUAGCUCAGUCUGACCUGGAAUUCACUGUGAACUCUCAGGGUGGCUUUGAACUCAGGCGAUCCGCCUACCUCUGCCUCCCGAGUGCUGGGGUUAAAGGCAUGUGCCUCCACGCCCAGCAUCUGAGGAAUUUUUUAACUAGUUUAUAAAAAAUAUCAUUGAUAUAAACUGCCCCUUCAUUUCCCCAACAGAGACUUCUUAGGUUGGAGACACAUGUUUUAAUAAUAGCUUGUCUCUAAUAUCCACAGUAGCUACCUCUAUGUGAGGAAAGGAUAGAAAACGUUCAGGACAUCAUACAGGCUCCUGAUCUACAAAGUUCCAGUCUGUAGCAGUGACGCCUACACAGAAGACUUGGAACUGCAAACAGGCUGGGGUCACCUCAGUGACAUCUGACGCUGUCCAACCAGAAGUUUGAUUUUUGUCUUGGGGUAUGUGUGUGAAAGAAGUAGACUUUACUAAAGGACUAAAAUAA